rnacentral:rRNA from 1 species
CGGUCCUUGCAAAAAGAGUUGAAGAAUAAGGAGUUCUGCCUGCCCAGUGACGCAGUUAAACGGCCGCGGUAUUUUGACCGUGCAAAGGUAGCAUAAUCAUUUGCCUCUUAAAUAGAGGCUGGUAUGAAUGGCAAGACGAAGGUUAAGCUGUCUCUUUCUUAAUCGCUGAAUUUAAUAUUUUUGUGAAGAAGCGGGAAUAAAUUCGUAGGACGAGAAGACCCUAUCGAGCUUUAGUGAGGUUAUUAGUAGUUGUUUAACAUUGAGAGCCUAAUCAAGUUGUUUUAUAAUUUUUAAGACUUAGUUUUUGAUGUAUAAUUAAAUAAUAAUUUAGUUUUGGUUGGGGCAAUCGCGGAGUAAAUAAAACCUCCGUUAUAAAUAUAAAAAAUUACUAUUUUAUAGAAGUGAUCCGCUGUUUAUAGCGAGCAAAGGAAUAAGUUACCGUAGGGAUAACAGCGUAAUUUUUUUGGAGAGUUCAUAUUGAUAAAAAAGUUUGCGACCUCGAUGUUGGAUCGAGAUUUCCUAGAGAUGCAGCAGUUUCUAAGGAGUU